rnacentral:lncRNA from 1 species
ACAAGGAGGGGUCAGAAGAAACACAAUUAUUUUUGUCUGGUGGAAUACAAAAAGAUGUCACAGAGUUGGCAUUUGAAUUGGAUAUUGGAAGAUGAAUGGAAGUACACUAGCUGGAGAUGAAAAGAAUAUAAUGGACUGAGGAAAAGUUCCUUUCCUAAAAUCAAGAAAGCUGUAAAAGGCAUGGGGAUUUUAAUAAUUAUCUUCACUUGGAAUUACAUGUAUGUUGAGUGCAGGGACAAAAUUGAAAAAAUAGUUAUGGCUGAAAAGUUAUAUGGGAAAUUAUUAUCAAAGGCUAUUGAUGUCAAGCUAAGAAGAUUACAUUUUACCUAAAAUGCCUAUGAUCUUUAAAGUGGAUGUAAGACUAGUUCCUCUUCCCCAUUCUUAUGUUUUCCAUAUUGUCCUCUUCCUUGUGAAAAAUUCCACCACCGUUGUCAACGCUUCACUUUAUAUACCAUACUAAUAUAAUACUUUCGCCCAUGAGCAGAAUGGAUGAGAACAUUCUCAGAAAUGUAUUAAAAUUACUACAUAUAUUGUGUUUGAAACGGAAAACCAUGAAUAGAUACCUUUAUAGUAAUAAAUUAAAUCUUAACAGGUGAGUUGCAGAGAAUAUG